UGAUCACUUAAAGUGAUGUUGAAUUUAAUUUAGCUGUCUGGACAAUGCCUUAACAGAUUCAUUUCAGAUACUGAGGUCCUACAUAAUUCUCAUUUGCAUUUGGAAAUACUCAAGAUCCAUCUCCCAGUUUAGCGCACUUUUGAGGACUUCCUGCCGGUCCAAUUGAUCCAGGAGCAGCAAAAAUAUGGAAGAUCCACAGCUGAAAAACCAAACUUGACCUACCGGAGUGGAUAAAGGAUGGCGUUGGCAUGGUCAGCAGCUUCAGAAAACCACUUGUUUAUCUCACGGAACUCAAAAGAAAAAGAUAGGCACGAUUACUAUAUAUGAAAAGUUGAAUGUUGACCAAUCAACAGUUCCUUUUCUUGUCUGAUAAAGCAACUGCUGUAUAUGAAAUCAAACCUCAUCUUAAGCUCAACACAGAGAAUAGUUUCUCCUCCGGCCGCCAUGUUCGACAGGCCAAACCAUUCAACUCCAUAUGGAGAUUUUGACGACGGACCAGACCCAUUCAAUUCAAUGCUCUGCACGUGCCGCUGAUAUGGUAAAUUGUUAAUUCACUUGUGACAUCAACCCCCGAGCACUGUGACUAGAAAAUCUGCAAUUCCUUUGCUGUUGAUUGUUUAAAUUAAUAGAGUUUGGAAGUUUAUAAGGUUUUUUAAUUAGAUUGAUUUGGUAACUGAUUGACAUUUGCA